GAUCUCUUUACUUGUCGCUCUGUUCUGCCUCUCCCUGGUAAUUUCAGUCGACGUAAUCGUCUUUUGGAUUCAUAGUCUAAGCCAUUCUUGUUUCUAGUGCGAGCCUCUGAUCUGCCUUUAGAUUAUUUAGUCAUUAGUUGUGUGAUUCGUGUUCUGACGGCUAUGAUGAUAACAUAUAAUCCCAGCUCUACGAGACCUUUUGUGGUCAAGGAGUACAACUAUGUUCAUACAUUUAUCUGAGCCUUAUUCUUUUUAUUCGUUUUUUGAUAUUGAAUUUGGGUUUAUGUGGCUGUGAUGAUAACAUAUUAUCCCAGCUCAUUAUGAGACCUUUUGUGGUCAAGGAAAAUAACUGUUUUCUAACAUUUUUCUGAGCCCUUAAACCCUGACUUAUCAUAUUGUUUUUCUUUUACUAGUUAAAAUUCGAUUGUGUUCCCUGUGAUGAUUUAAUUGCUAAUGUAUACCUGAUCAAUUUUUAUAUGAUUUGUAAUUUAUUUCUGAGGGAGCAAUUAUGUUUUUGUUUUAAAUUAUGUUUGUAAACCGAUUCCCUAUGAUGGUUUAACCAUGCUAAUACUGAUGUCCUUGACUGAAAUAAUGUUAAGUUACUGAGGGAUUAUCUGUUUGAAUUUUAUUUUGCGUUUUGUUUAUGUUGUAGUUUUUUUUUUUGAGAUUGUAAUCUGUUUCUUAUUAUAUUCUUGAUUAUGUUUUGACUGAAUUUAUCAAGCUACUUCUAUUUGUAAUAUCUAUUGCGAGUAUUGUUCCUCAGAAUCCACGCAGUGGUGCUUUCUUCCAGUUUUUCCUCAACAUCUAAAGCAGGAUCCGGAUCCGGAUCAGACUGUCGUGUUGGCGGCAGCAUAAAAUCGAGACCAUUACUCCUUCUAGCAAUAUCACCGUCGGGAAAGUCGUCGUCAUCUCCCGAAUUAGCAAUCAUCUUGCCAUGUCGCUUGCUUUCCUUUCUAUCAACGUCCUUGUUUUUUCUUCUUCUAUCCUUCUUGUCUUCUCUAUCCGAAGUAUCAUCAAGCACCUAAUAGGAGUAGAUAAAAACAUCAAACUCAAGCCAGACUUUUAACACAUUAAAAAAAAAAAAGAAGAAGAAGAAUGAAAGGAAACGAGUAACCUUACCUCAUGACGAGGUAUGAUCUUUAUUCCAGAAAACAUGUUAAACAACUUGUUCCUGUGGAAGAAUCAAAUCAACAAGGAAGAGGGAAUCAAAAUUAGGGCAUGAAUACAAACAAAACAUGUACCGUUUUGCUACUUACAAUUCACUAGAUUACUAGAAACUGAGGUAAGCUCACAGGUCACAAGUAGUUUUAAGUAACACUGACAAAAAUCGAUUACGCCCAAAUAAAGCUUUGUCCUUUAAUCAAAUUAACUUCCUGUCAUUCAUCAACAACACCCAAAUCUCAAUUACUCGACUUUCUCUUCGUAUUCCUUAAAAGUCCCAUUGUCCUUGCGAUUCAAUUCAAAGGAAAGAACAAAAAUAUCAUCUUCAAAUUCGAGAGUUGGAGAGAUUCUAAGCAGAAACCAUCUCCUAUUUAUCAAAACAUAUAUCCCUUUUUUAAUCUAAGUUUAUGAGAGCUAAUUCAGAAAACAUACCGGAAGAAGAAGACAGUUUCGCCGCUCGCUCGCUCGCUGAUUUAGGGCUCGACAAAAGCCAGAAUGAAGAUUUGACAAACCGAGACUAAUAACCGGGACUAAAAUUAGAAAUACAAAGGCCAAAUCGGGGGAAAGAACCGGAUAUUGUCGAACCGAGAUUCAACUUCCGCUUAUACCAAGAUUGGUGGGCCAGAUAAAGUUCUAAGAACGUCUAAUUGCUUAAAAAGCCCAAAAUAAAAGGCUUAGGUUAAUAAGGCCUUGUGAUAUGAAAACCCUAGUUUCUCUUGGCCGUCUUUUAUAAAUAUCUUUUCGAUUCUCUCUAUUUCCGACAUCUUCUUGUUUUGAUCUCUUUACUUGUCGCUCUGUUCUGCCUCUCCCUGGUAAUUUCAGUCGACGUAAUCGUCUUUUGGAUUCAUAGUCUAAGCCAUUCUUGUUUCUAGUGCGAGCCUCUGAUCUGCCUUUAGAUUAUUUAGUCAUUAGUUGUGUGAUUCGUGUUCUGACGGCUAUGAUGAUAACAUAUAAUCCCAGCUCUACGAGACCUUUUGUGGUCAAGGAGUACAACUAUGUUCAUACAUUUAUCUGAGCCUUAUUCUUUUUAUUCGUUUUUUGAUAUUGAAUUUGGGUUUAUGUGGCUGUGAUGAUAACAUAUUAUCCCAGCUCAUUAUGAGACCUUAUGUGGUCAAGGAAAAUAACUGUUUUCUAACAUUUUUCUGAGCCCUUAAACCCUGACUUAUCAUAUUGUUUUUCUUUUACUAGUUAAAAUUCGAUUGUGUUCCCUGUGAUGAUUUAAUUGCUAAUGUAUACCUGAUCAAUUUUUAUAUGAUUUGUAAUUUAUUUCUGAGGGAGCAAUUAUGUUUUUGUUUUAAAUUAUGUUUGUAAACCGAUUCCCUAUGAUGGUUUAACCAUGCUAAUACUGAUGUCCUUGAC
rnacentral:lncRNA from 1 species